AAUGGAACGGACCCACGUAUGUGGCAGUAAUUCCUUGGUUGGUUUGCGCAAGGUCUUUCGAUGCAUCAAGGCGUUGAAGGGUGGUUCGUGGAUGUAUGGUGUGGCGAGGAAAGGCAGCGUUUUGGGUUUUCUUUUUUGCUGACACGACCCCAGUGCUGAUUGGUGAUGGACAUGGGUACUUUGGAUCCCAAAGAGCUGACUCACCUUGAAAGAUAGAAGAAAUUGAAGCUGCAGAUGGGUCAGAAAGAAAUCAUCUUGAUGAUGGAGGGAGCAAGAACCUCUGAAA